GGGCGAAUGGUUUAGUGGUAUAAUACUCGCUUAGCACCGGAUGACUCCAUCGUCCAAUCUGUGAGUGGUCCAGGGUUCGAUUCCCUGUUCGUCCA